rnacentral:rRNA from 1 species
UGAACGCUGGCGGCGUGCUUAACACAUGCAAGUCGAACGAAGCACUUAUGACAGAUUCUUCGGAAGAUGGAUUAAGUGACUGAGUGGCGGACGGGUGAGUAACGCGUGGGUAACCUGCCAUAUACAGGGGGGAUAACACUUAGAAAUAGGUGCUAAUACCGCAUAAGCGCACGGUGUCGCAUGACACAGUGUGAAAAACUCCGGUGGUAUAUGAUGGACCCGCGUCUGAUUAGCUAGUUGGUGAGGUAAGGGCUCACCAAGGCGACGAUCAGUAGCCGGCCUGAGAGGGUGAACGGCCACAUUGGGACUGAGACACGGCCCAAACUCCUACGGGAGGCAGCAGUGGGGAAUAUUGCACAAUGGGGGAAACCCUGAUGCAGCGACGCCGCGUGAACGAUGAAGUAUUUCGGUAUGUAAAGUUCUAUCAGCAGGGAAGAUAAUGACGGUACCUGACUAAGAAGCACCGGCUAAAUACGUG